rnacentral:lncRNA from 1 species
UUCAUCUCCAUCACCAGUUCAAAGGUGAGUAUCUGUGUGGCUACUGUACUUGCUCUUGUUACUGAGUGGAAGGCUGGACUUGUGACCCUCUUCAGGGACCCUCUUUCUCUCAGGAGGGCAGUGGGCAGCCCUCAGUCUCCCUGGCUUAUUGGGGACAUGCUGCCUCUCAUCCUGUGAGCUCCAGUUGGAACCCUUGAGUUGUCUGAGAGGUAAGAUGGGCUGGGCCCCAUCUAAAAAGACAAUCUGCUGCUUCCUCAACACCACACCAUAUCUUUAAAUCUAUUAUGAUUUUUUAAAAAGUCCCUGUUUGGGAUGGAAAGGCAUGGUCUAAAUAAGCCCUCAAAGAAAAGCCAUUUUAGGACAUUUUUGCACUUCAGGACAUUGGCUUAUGGUGGGUCAGGGGAGCGGGGAGUGUGGUGUCCAGUCUCUGCUGGGUGAUGCCUUAGAUGUUGAUAUCAGGGGGGUACAUGAGCUCAGGUGUCAUGGGGUGCAUGGGGGCAGUGUCCUGGAAGGAGGAUGGGCAGCAGUGGUGUAAGGAGUUCUCCAGCCCCACUGGUCCAGGGCCUGGCUCCUUGCCUGUGCCUUUGGCUGAAGCAGGAAAUGGCCCCAGCAGCUCACCCACAUAUCAUGGGGUGGCCAAGGCACUCCUGUGCUUAGAUGUCCUGGAUUUAUGGCGUCAACUGGACAAGGUGCUGGUGCCUGUGCCUUCUGUCUCUGCUCUCCCAGCCCCAGCAGCACCAGCUCCUCCGGCUACCUGGUGCUUCUGGUCACCCAGGCCCUGCAGGCCCCAGGCCUCCUCCUCCCCAGAGCCUUCACUCAAGCCUUCCCCCUCCCUGCAGCCCCACCUGCUGUUUCCCCACCAGGGGGACCCUCCCCCCACAUCCCGCACAGCCUCCAGCCAGGCAGGAACUCCUGUGAUGAGCUGCCUGUGAGGAAGAUGCCUGGUGACUUUCAGAGGCAAUGUGGACGUCCCCAUCUGCUCCCAUCUGUUCUUCUUAAGUAAG